UACGUAGGGGGCAAGCGUUUGUCCGGAUUUAUUGGGCGUAAAGAGCGUGUAGGCGGCUCGGUAAGUCUGCUGUGAAAGUCCAGGGCUCAACCCUGGGAUGCCGGUGGAUACUGUCGAGCUCGAGUCCGGAAGAGGCGAGUGGAAUUCCUGGUGUAGCGGUGAAAUGCGCAGAUAUCAGGAGGAACACCAAUGGCGAAGGCAGCUCGCUGGGACGUGACUGACGCUGAGACGCGAAAGCGUGGGGAGCAAACAGG
rnacentral:rRNA from 1 species